rnacentral:rRNA from 1 species
UACGGAGGGUGCAAGCGUUAUCCGGAUUCACUGGGUUUAAAGGGUGCGUAGGCGGGCAGGUAAGUCAGUGGUGAAAUCUCCGAGCUUAACUCGGAAACUGCCAUUGAUACUAUUUGUCUUGAAUAUUGUGGAGGUAAGCGGAAUAUGUCGUGUAGCGGUGAAAUGCUUAGAUAUGACAUAGAACACCAAUUGCGAAGGCAGCUUACUACACAAUGAUUGACGCUGAGGCACGAAAGCGUGGGGAUCAAACAGG